rnacentral:pre_miRNA from 1 species
UUAACUCUUAUUUGUAUGGACUGUGAUCGUUUGCGUACGUUUGCCGCUAGGGGCGCUGUUCAAACUGCAUACAAAUUUGGGCUA